GUAAUGAGGAGUACCUUAAGGAUGUAUUCUUCUGAUGUUUCAGUCUCGUUGAAAUCUUGAUCGGGAAUUAUUUCCAAAACAUGUGUGAUACAAGUGGAAAAUAUCAAUGAAUUUUAAAAAUAUUAUAAUAAAACUAAACUCUGUGAAAAAGUUGUGUACUUACAAUAAGUAGUUUUUAUACGACUGCAAAAAAAUUUUGUGGUCGUAUAUUGGUAUGAUGUUGGCGUCGUCGUCGUCGCUGUCCGAAGACACAUUGGUUUUCGCACUCUAACUUUAGUUUAAGUGAAUGGAUCUUUUUGAAAUUUGACCAUAAGGUUAAAUACCACAAAAGGAAGGUUGGGAUUGAUUUUGGGGGUUAUGGUACCAACAGUUAAGGAAUUAGGGGCCAAAAAGGGCCCAAAAAUAAGAAUUUUCUAGUUUCCAGACAAUAACUGUGGAACAGUGUAUGGAUCUCUCUGAAAUUAUACUACAAGUUUCCAUACCACAAAGGGAUGGUUAGGAUUUGCUUUGGGGGGUUAUGGCUCAAACCGUUUAGGAAUUAGGGGCAAAAAAGGGGGAAAAACAAGGUUGUCCUGGUUAAUGGACAAAUACUUUAGUUCAAAACAUAAUUUAAAGCAGUGUAAGGGAGAUAAAUCAAAUACAUCAUUAAAAUUAUCUCCCUUACACUGCUUUUAAAUUAUGUAUAAAGUAAUGGUUAAUGAACAAUAAAGAUAAUUUAAAACAGUGUAAGGGAGGUAAUCCAAAUACAACGUUUUGGUUACUUCCCUUUCACUGCUUUUAAAUUAUGUGUAAAGAAAUGCAUAUUUAUAAAGGAAGACCAGUAAAAAUAUCUGCAAAUGUUGCAUCUUUUUUUUUUUACAAAAAAAUCCAUAUGAAGGUCCAAAGGGUCCAAAAUUAAACUUUGUUUGAUUUUAGCAAAAAUUGAAUAUAUGAGGUUCUUUGAUAUGCUGAAUCUAAACAUGUAUUUAGAUUUUUGAUUUUUGGCCCAGUUUUCAAGUUGGUCCAAAAUUAAACUUUGUUUGAUUUCAACAAAAAUUGAAUAUAUGGGGUUCUUUGAUAUGCUGAAUCUAACCAUGUAUUUAGAUUUUUUAUUUGUGGACCCCGUUAUCAAAUUGGUUCAUAUUGAGGUCAAAAGGGUCCAAAAUUAAACUUUGUUUGAUUUUAGCAAAAAUUGAAUAUAUGAGGUUCAUUGAUAUGCUGAAUCUAACCAUGUAUUUAGAUUUUUUAUUUGUGGGCCCCGCUUUCAAAUUGGUUCAUAUUGAGGUCAAAAGGGUCCAAAAUUAAACUUUGUUUGAUUUCAUCAGAAAUUGAAUUAUUGGGGUUCUUUGAUAUGCCAAAUCUAACCGUGUUUUUAGAUUUUUAAUUUGGGUCCCGUUUUUUAAAUUGGUCUUCAUUGAGGUCCAAAGGGUCCAAAAUUAAACUUAGUUUGAUUUUAACAAAAAUUGAAUUCUUGGGGUUCUUUGAUAUGCUGAAUCUAAACAUGUGUUUAGAUUUUUGAUUAUGGGCCCAGUUUUCAAGUUGGUCCAAGUUGGGGUCCAAAAUUAAACUUUGUUUGAUUUCAACAAAAAUUGAAUAUAUGGGGUUCUUUGAUAUGCUGAAUCUAACCAUGAAUUUAGAUUUUUUAUUUGUGGGCCCCGCUAUCAAAUUGGUUCAUAUUGAGGUCAAAAGGGUUCAAAAUUAAACUUUGUUUGAUUUCAUCAAAAAUUGAAUUAUUGGGGUUCUUUGAUAUUCCAAAUCUAACCGUGUAUUUAGAUUUUUAAUUUUAAGUCCCGUUUUUUAAAUUGGUCUACAUUAAGGUCCAAAGGGUCCAAAAUUAAACUUAGUUUGAUUUUAACAAAAAUUGAAUUCUUGGGGUUCUUUGAUAUGCUGAAUCUAAACAUGUGUUUAGAUUUUUGAUUAUGGGCCCAGUUUUCAAGUUGGUCCAAGUUGGGGUCCAAAAUUAAACUUUGUUUGAUUUCAACAAAAAUUGAAUAUAUGGGGUUCUUUGAUAUGCUGAAUCUAAACAUGUAUUUAGAUUUUAGAUUUUUGGCCCAGUUUUCAAGUUGGUCCAAAUUGGGGUCCAAAAUUAAACUUUGUUUGAUUUCAACAAAAAUUGAAUAUAUGGGGUUCUUUGAUAUGCUGAAUCUUACCAUGUAUUUAGAUUUUUUAUUUGUGGGCCCGCUAUCAAAUUGGUUCAUAUUGAGGUCAAAAGGGUCCAAAAUUAAACUUUGUUUGAUUUCAUCAAAAAUUGAAUUAUUGGGAUUCUUUGAUAUGCCAAAUUUAACCGUGUAUUUAGAUUUUUAAUUUUGGGUCCCGUUUUUUAAAUUGGUCUACAUAAAGGUCCAAAGGGUCCAAAAUUAAACUUAGUUUGAUUUUAACAAAAAUUGAAUUUUUUGGGUUCUUUGAUAUGCUGAAUCUAAACAUGUGUUUAGAUUUUUGAUUAUGGGCCCAGUUUUCAAGUUGGUCCAAGUUGGGGUCCAAAAUUAAACUUUGUUUGAUUUCAACAAAAAUUGAAUAUAUGGGGUUCUUUGAUAUGCUGAAUCUAAACAUGUAUUUAGAUUUUAGAUUUUUGGCCCAGUUUUCAAGUUGGUCCAAAUUGGGGUCCAAAAUUAAACUUUGUUUGAUUUCAACAAAAAUUGAAUAUAUGGGGUUCUUUGAUAUGCUGAAUCUUACCAUGUAUUUAGAUUUUUUAUUUUGUGGGCCCGCUAUCAAAUUGGUUCAUAUUGAGGUCAAAAGGGUCCAAAAUUAAACUUUGUUUGAUUUCAUCAAAAAUUGAAUUAUUGGGGUUCUUUGAUAUGCCAAAUCUAACCGUGUUUUUAGAUUUUUAAUUUUGGGUCCCGUUUUUUAAAUUGGUCUACAUUAAGGUCCAAAGGGUCCAAAAUUAAACUUAGUUUGAUUUUAACAAAAAUUGAAUUCUUGGGGUACUUUGAUAUGCUGAAUCUAAACAUGUGUUUAGAUUUUUGAUUAUGGGACCAGUUUUCAAGUUUGUCCAAGUUGGGGUCCAAAAUUAAACUUUGUUUGAUUUCAACAAAAAUUGAAUAUAUGGGGUUCUUUGAUAUGCUGAAUCUAACCAUGUAUUUUGAUUUUGGACAUUGGACCAUAAUAGGUAAAUUAAAAAAAUUGAAGUUCUUAGACCACAUUCUUUCUGUGUCAGAAACCUAUGCUGUGUCAAAUAUUUAAUCACAAUCCAAAUUCAGAGCUGUAUCAAGCUUGAAUGUUGUGUCCAUACUUGCCCCAACUGUUCAGGGUUUGACCUCUGCGGUCGUAUCAAGCUGCGCCCAGCGAAGCAUUUUAUUGAUUAUUAUCUUGAAUAUUAUUAUAGAUAGAGAUAAACUGUAAACAGCAAUAAUGUUCAGCAAAGUAAGAUCUACAAAUAAGUUGCAUGACCAAAAUUGUCAGUCGACCCAUUUAGGAGUUAUUGCCCUUAAUAGUAAAUUUUUAACAAUUUUUCGUAAAUUUUUGUAAUCUUUUACAAAAAUCUUCUCCUCUGAAACUACUCAGACAAAUUUAACCAUACUUGGCCAUAAUCAUUAUUAGGGUAUCUAGUUUAAAAAAUUUGUCCGAUGACCGCGCCUUCCAACCAUCAUGGCCAACUUGGUUAAAAAUAGAACAUAGGGGUAAAAUGCAGUUUUUGGUUUAUAUCUCUGAAACUAAAGCAUUUAGAGCAAAUCUGACAGGUGGCAAAAAUGUUCAUCAGAUUUAGAUUUAUCUGCCCUGAAAUUUUCAGACGAAUCCGACAACCCGUUGUUGGGUUGCUGCCACUGAGUUAGUAAUUUUACAAAAAUUUUGCAGUUUUUUGUUAUUAUCUUAGAUAUCAUUAUAAUAUCUAAUAUCUAAUACUAUUAAUUAUGAUUUUAACCUUAUUUUACAUGAUUUCCAAAGCAUCAGUAAAUACAGGUGAGCGACACAGGCUCUUGAGAGCCUCUAGUUUCAUCAUGCUUGAAGAUAUUGAUUGACAAUUGGUAUAUAGUUUUAUCAUGACAAGUUACAGAUCAAGUUCAAAUUUUUGUUUCGGUCUGAUAAUUUUGUGCAGAGUCAUGGUCCUUGGACUUGAAAAAAUUCACUCAUAUAUUCAGUUUUCCACACUGUUUUUAGUCAUGCUUGAAGAUAUUGACUUGAUAUUUU